CGCCUUAAUUUGGGGCCUAAAACUGCCAAGUCGCGGCGGUAGGAGAAGACAUGCUUCUCUUGGGAGCGGCGGACGGGUGAGUAAUGCCUAGGAAUCUGCCUGGUAGUGGGGGAUAACGUUCGGAAACGGACGCUAAUACCGCAUACGUCCUAGGGAGAAAGCAGGGGACCUUCGGGCCUUGCGCUAUCAGAGAGCCUAGGUCGGUUUAGCUAGUUGGUGAGGUAAUGGCUCACCAAGCGACGAUCCGUAACUGGUCUGAGAGGAUGAUCAGUCACACUGGAACUGAGACACGGUCCAGACUCCUACGGGAGGCAGCAGUGGGGAAUAUUGGACAAUGGGCGAAAGCCUGAUCCAGCCAUGCCGCGUGUGUGAAGAAGGUCUUCGGAUUGUAAAGCACUUUAAGUUGGGAGGAAGGGCAGUUACCUAAUACGUGAUUGUUUUGACGUUACCGACAGAAUAAGCACCGGCUAACUCUGUGCCAGCAGCCGCGGUAAUACAGAGGGUGCAAGCGUUAAUCGGAAUUACUGGGCGUAAAGCGCGCGUAGGUGGUUAGUUAAGUUGGAUGUGAAAUCCCCGGGCUCAACCUGGGAACUGCAUUCAAAACUGACUGACUAGAGUAUGGUAGAGGGUGGUGGAAAUUUCCUG
rnacentral:rRNA from 1 species